GGACAGAACGCAGCAAGAACAACUGGACAAGUAUAUGACCAUAUUGGAAAUCAAAACGAAGCCAUGCUUAUCAAGGCGACGGAGACUAAGCCGCAGUGUAUUGUCUUAUCAGCACUUGGAGAGAGCAGAGCGUUUUUAGCAUUGACUUCCUUACAUGAUAACACUGCAGAAAAUGUCUGGUCUAUUG